UUUAAAUCUGAAAUCCUCUCCCCUUUAGCCAAGCCACCCUUCGGCCGCCCUUGACCUCGACGAGUAUUCACCGUGCCGGCCACAGGUUGCCGGCAACGGCUCCGCCGUUCUCGGUGCCCAGGAAAACCCAAAAUGCCCCUUUUUAACACCCUUUUCAAGAGGAUCCCCGUUUUGGGGUUAAAAACACCAGAGUCUGGGCAAAAUCAGGCCAAAAAUAGAGAAGCCCUUCGGUUUCUUCUUCUCUCUGGCGACCAAAACAGGUGGUGGUUGACGGUGGCAGACCUCGGGUGACGAGAAGCUUCGGGCGGCGUGCCUACGAGGGGGGUGCGGCAUGAAGGGGCUAGGGUUUUGUUUUAGUUUUCUGAAAAAACUUAAUGUUGUGGGCUUUAGAGUUUGUGUUAGUGAGACUGUAAUUUGGACUUUUAGUGUUUUGGAUUUUAUUU